rnacentral:rRNA from 1 species
UAAAUGAGAAUACUUGGUGUGAAUUGCAGAAUCCCGUGACCCAUAGAGUCUUUGACGCAGUUGCGCCCGAAGCCAGUAGGUUGAGGGCACGUCUGCCUGGGUGUCA